rnacentral:rRNA from 1 species
CAGAGGUGGCAAGCGUUGUCGGAAUUACUGGGCGUAAAGGGCGCGUAGGCGGCCAUCUAAGUCAGACGUGAAAUCCCCCGGCUUAACCUGGGAACUGCGUCUGAUACUGGACGGCUCGAGUAUGGGAGAGGGAUGUAGAAUUCCAGGUGUAGCGGUGAAAUGCGUAGAUAUCUGGAGGAAUACCGGUGGCGAAGGCGGCAUCCUGGACCAUUUACUGACGCUGAGGCGCGAAAGCUAGGGGAGCAAACGGGAUUAGAUACCCCGGUAGUCCUAGCCCUAAACGAUGAAUGCUUGGUGUGGCGGGUAUCGAUCCCUGCCGUGCCGAAGCUAACGCAUUAAGCAUUCCGCCUGGGGAGUACGGUCGCAAGGCUG